UAAACGGUCCUUUUCAGGGCCACAAACAAUUCCUGAAAAAGAGUUG
rfam:Ophiophagus hannah scaffold2122.1, whole genome shotgun sequence.